UACAGAGGUCCCAAGCGUUGUUCGGAUUCACUGGGCGUAAAGGGUGCGUAGGCGGUCGGGUAAGUCUGAUGUGAAAUCUCACAGCUUAACUGUGAAACUGCAUUGGAUACUAUCCGGCUCGAGGAAUGCAGGGGAGACUGGAAUACUUGGUGUAGCAGUGAAAUGCGUAGAUAUCAAGUGGAACACCAGUGGCGAAGGCGAGUCUCUGGACAUUUCCUGACGCUGAGGCACGAAAGCUAGGGGAGCAAACAGG
rnacentral:rRNA from 1 species